GAUAUGAACCGUUAUAACCGGCGAUACCCGAAUGGGGAAACCCAGUGUGAUUCGUCACACUAUCAUUAACUGAAUCCAUAGGUUAAUGAGGCGAACCGGGGGAACUGAAACAUCUAAGUACCCCGAGGAAAAGAAAUCAACCGAGAUUCCCCCAGUAGCGGCGAGCGAACGGGGAGGAGCCCAGAGCCUGAAUCAGCAUGUGUGUUAGUGGAAGCGUCUGGAAAGGCGCGCGAUACAGGGUGACAGCCCCGUACACAAAAGCGCAUGUGCUGUGAGCUCGAUGAGUAGGGCGGGACACGUGGUAUCCUGUCUGAAUAUGGGGGGACCAUCCUCCAAGGCUAAAUACUCCUGACUGACCGAUAGUGAACCAGUACCGUGAGGGAAAGGCGAAAAGAACCCCGGCGAGGGGAGUGAAAAAGAACCUGAAACCGUGUACGUACAAGCAGUGGGAGNNNNNNNNNNNNNNNNNNNNNNNNNNNNNNNNNNNNNNNNNNNNNNNNGGGCGUUAAGUUGCAGGGUAUAGACCCGAAACCCGGUGAUCUAGCCAUGGGCAGGUUGAAGGUUGGGUAACACUAACUGGAGGACCGAACCGACUAAUGUUGAAAAAUUAGCGGAUGACCUGUGGCUGGGGGUGAAAGGCCAAUCAAACCGGGAGAUAGCUGGUUCUCCCCGAAAGCUAUUUAGGUAGCGCCUCGUGAAUUCAUCUCCGGGGGUAGAGCACUGUUUCGGCUAGGGGGCCAUCCCGGCUUACCAACCCGAUGCAAACUGCGAAUACCGGAGAAUGUUAUCACGGGAGACACACGGCGGGUGCUAACGUCCGUCGUGAAGAGGGAAACAACCCAGACCGCCAGCUAAGGUCCCAAAGUCAUGGUUAAGUGGGAAACGAUGUGGGAAGGCCCAGACAGCCAGGAUGUUGGCUUAGAAGCAGCCAUCAUUUAAAGAAAGCGUAAUAGCUCACUGGUCGAGUCGGCCUGCGCGGAAGAUGUAACGGGGCUAAACCAUGCACCGAAGCUGCGGCAGCGANNNNNNNNNNNNNNNNNNNNNNUGCUGGAGGUAUCAGAAGUGCGAAUGCUGACAUAAGUAACGAUAAAGCGGGUGAAAAGCCCGCUCGCCGGAAGACCAAGGGUUCCUGUCCAACGUUAAUCGGGGCAGGGUGAGUCGACCCCUAAGGCGAGGCCGAAAGGCGUAGUCGAUGGGAAACGGGUUAAUAUUCCCGUACUUGGUGUUACUGCGAAGGGGGGACGGAGAAGGCUAUGUUGGCCGGGCGACGGUUGUCCCGGUUUAAGCGUGUAGGUGUGUGUUCCAGGUAAAUCCGGUUCACUUUAACACUGAGGCGUGACGACGAGGCACUACGGUGCUGAAGCAACAAAUGCCCUGCUUCCAGGAAAAGCCUCUAAGCAUCAGGUAACACGAAAUCGUACCCCAAACCGACACAGGUGGUCAGGUAGAGAAUACCAAGGCGCUUGAGAGAACUCGGGUGAAGGAACUAGGCAAAAUGGUGCCGUAACUUCGGGAGAAGGCACGCUGACACGUAGGUGAAGUGAUUUACUCAUGGAGCUGAAGUCAGUCGAAGAUACCAGCUGGCUGCAACUGUUUAUUAAAAACACAGCACUGUGCAAACACGAAAGUGGACGUAUACGGUGUGACGCCUGCCCGGUGCCGGAAGGUUAAUUGAUGGGGUCAGCGCAAGCGAAGCUCCUGAUCGAAGCCCCGGUAAACGGCGGCCGUAACUAUAACGGUCCUAAGGUAGCGAAAUUCCUUGUCGGGUAAGUUCCGACCUGCACGAAUGGCGUAAUGAUGGCCAGGCUGUCUCCACCCGAGACUCAGUGAAAUUGAACUCGCUGUGAAGAUGCAGUGUACCCGCGGCAAGACGGAAAGACCCCGUGAACCUUUACUAUAGCUUGACACUGAACAUUGAGCCUUGAUGUGUAGGAUAGGUGGGAGGCUUUGAAGUGUGGACGCCAGUCUGCAUGGAGCCGACCUUGAAAUACCACCCUUUAAUGUUUGAUGUUCUAACGUGGACCCGUAAUCCGGGUUGCGGACAGUGUCUGGUGGGUAGUUUGACUGGGGCGGUCUCCUCCUAAAGAGUAACGGAGGAGCACGAAGGUUGGCUAAUCCUGGUCGGACAUCAGGAGGUUAGUGCAAUGGCAUAAGCCAGCUUGACUGCGAGCGUGACGGCGCGAGCAGGUGCGAAAGCAGGUCAUAGUGAUCCGGUGGUUCUGAAUGGAAGGGCCAUCGCUCAACGGAUAAAAGGUACUCCGGGGAUAACAGGCUGAUACCGCCCAAGAGUUCAUAUCGACGGCGGUGUUUGGCACCUCGAUGUCGGCUCAUCACAUCCUGGGGCUGAAGUAGGUCCCAAGGGUAUGGCUGUUCGCCAUUUAAAGUGGUACGCGAGCUGGGUUUAGAACGUCGUGAGACAGUUCGGUCCCUAUCUGCCGUGGGCGCUGGAGAACUGAGGGGGGCUGCUCCUAGUACGAGAGGACCGGAGUGGACGCAUCACUGGUGUUCGGGUUGUCAUGCCAAUGGCACUGCCCGGUAGCUAAAUGCGGAAGAGAUAAGUGCUGAAAGCAUCUAAGCACGAAACUUGCCCCGAGAUGAGUUCUCCCUGAGACUUAGAGUCUCCUGAAGGAACGUUGAAGACGACGACGUUGAUAGGCCGGGUGUGUAAGCGCAGCGAUGCGUUGAGCUAACCGGUACUAAUGA
rnacentral:rRNA from 1 species